UGACAGCCCACUGGUCCUCAACAGGUCGGGAAGUUUACCGAAAGGGGCCGACUAGACGCAGAGCCGAGGAAGUGCUAAUAGGGGCGAGGGGCCCUAGAUCUUGUGCAAGAUGGUUGGUUACUCGCUCAAGGUCACAUGGCUGUGCAGCGUCAAGGAGGAUAUUUGAACCUGGAUCUCCAUACUCUUGGCCAUUAUACUCUUCUGCUGGCUUCAGACUUCCAUGGAAGCUAUGGAACCAUAUGCUCUAUCAAAUAUUAAGAUAAAUCACAAAAGAGAAAGCCAUGAAAUCCAGGAAAAAGGUGGACCAACACAAGAGAGAGAUGAACAUUUCCAGAAUGAAAACUAAAAGAAAUUUUAUUACAUUAGUUAUGCUGCACCCCUAGACAUCAACCUGUUGCUAGUGGAACUGAAAGUCAGAGGACUCCAAGAGUGACAAGAAAGAGGAGGAGGAGGAAACUGAAAGAUGAUAUUAACAGCUUUGAGUUUUUAUAAACAGAUUACGCAUACAAGAUCUAUAAAAUAGAAGAGGAACCUAAUUACCAGGAAAAAAACCCAGACUACCAACAUUUCUUCAAGAAUUAAUUUGGUUUUAGUGACCACAGUUUUAUUCCCAACUGUAAAUCUAGAUAUGUUAAAAGCAUGUUUCAAAUAAAUCUACAGCUUUUAAACAAAAUCAUCUGGCAUACUGUUUUGGAAUUUCAACAUUAGCAGUGUCAAUAUUAUUUCUUUUGUUCUUCUAUUUAUAUGACAUUUUAGAAAAGGCCAAAUUAUAGGGAUAAAGAUAUAUCCGUAUUUGCCAGUGGGUGGGGAUGACACAGGGGUUGACUAAAAGGGGCAUAAAUUUUAGGGGCUAAUGAAAUUGUUAAAAGGAUGACU